rnacentral:rRNA from 1 species
UACGUAGGGGGCAAGCGUUGUCCGGAAUUAUUGGGCGUAAAGGGCUCGUAGGCGGCCAACUAAGUCGGAUGUGAAAUCCCCAGGCUUAACCUGGGAACUGCAUCCGAUACUGGUCGGCUUGAAUCCGGGAGAGGGAUGCAGAAUUCCAGGUGUAGCGGUGAAAUGCGUAGAUAUCUGGAGGAAUACCGGUGGCGAAGGCGGCAUCCUGGACCGGCAUUGACGCUGAACAGCGAAAGCUAGGGGAGCAAACGGG